CGCCUACACACCGCCUCUAACUGUCCGCAAUGCCGGUCGCCGGCUCCGAGCUGAAGCUGCAGCCCGCCGCUCAGCAACAGGGCGCGGAGGCACCGGGGCACGGGGAGCUGCAGUAUCUGGGUCAGGUGGAGCACAUUAUGCGCUGCGGUUUCAAGAAGGAGGACCGCACGGGCACCGGCACCUUGUCGGUGUUCGGCAUGCAGGCGAGAUACAACCUGAGAGAUGAAUUUCCUCUGCUCACAACCAAACGAGUGUUCUGGAAGGGCGUUUUGGAGGAGUUGCUGUGGUUUAUCAAGGGAUCCACAAAUGCUAAAGAACUGUCCUCCAAAGGAGUGAGAAUCUGGGAUGCCAAUGGGUCCCGAGAUUUUCUGGACAGCCUGGGAUUCUCUGCACGACAGGAAGGGGACCUGGGCCCAGUUUAUGGUUUCCAGUGGAGACAUUUUGGCGCAGACUACAAAGAUAUGGAAUCAGAUUACUCGGGUCAAGGAGUAGACCAGCUGCAAAAAGUGAUUGACACCAUCAAAACCAGCCCUGAUGACAGAAGAAUCAUCAUGUGUGCCUGGAACCCAAAAGAUCUUCCCCUGAUGGCACUGCCUCCUUGCCAUGCCCUCUGUCAAUUCUAUGUAGCGAAUGGGGAGCUGUCUUGCCAGCUCUACCAGAGGUCGGGAGAUAUGGGCCUGGGCGUGCCCUUCAACAUUGCCAGCUAUGCCCUGCUUACAUACAUGAUUGCACACAUCACAGGCCUAAAGCCAGGGGAUUUUGUCCACACCUUGGGAGAUGCACAUAUUUACCUGAAUCAUAUCGAGCCCCUGAAAAUUCAGCUUCAGCGAGAGCCAAGACCUUUCCCAAAGCUCAAAAUUCUUCGAAAAGUUGAGACAAUUGAUGAUUUCAGAGUUGAAGACUUUCAGAUUGAAGGUUAUAAUCCACAUCCAGCGAUUAAGAUGGAAAUGGCCGUUUAGAGCUUUUUCAAAGCUGCUGUGAACAUCACCAUACUAGGGUUUGAGCCUGAUGCCCAAGAUUUCCUCCUUCGUUUCUGCUGAGUAGCCUGCAUCUUAUCAAAGACAACAGAGUGGGCUAUGUGAACACUGGUUUCUACUGCUGCUAGAAAUGCGUUUAAAUCCAAUCCAGAGGUAAUUCAGUAUUUAAGAAAUUAUGUUUGGGUGCUGGAGAGAUGGCUCAGCAGUUAAGAGUCCUUGCUGCUCUUCUAAAAGUCAGUGUGAUUCCUAACACCCGUCUUAAGGGACUCACAACUUCUGUAAUUCCAGUCCAGGGGAUUCACUCAUUUGACCUCCCAGGGUGCCUACAGUCAUGUGCACGUACCGCACACACAGACUUGCCAUUAAAAAUAAAG